rnacentral:rRNA from 1 species
UGGGGAAUAUUGCGCAAUGGGGGAAACCCUGACGCAGCGGCGCCGCGUGAGCGAUGAAGGCCUUAGGGUUGUAAAGCUCUGUUUUAAGGGACGAAUGUUACGGGGAGUAAUAUACCCUGUAAAUGACGGUACCUUAAGAGGAAGCCCCGGCUAACUACGUGCCAGCAGCCGCGGUAAGACGUAGGGGGCGAGCGUUGUCCGGAAUUACUGGGCGUAAAGAGCACGUAGGCGGGAACUUAAGUCAGGUGUGAAAGACCGGGGCUCAACGUCGGGGGUGAGCUUGAAACUGGGUGUCUUGUGGGCAGGAGAGGGAAGUAGAAUGCCUGGUGUAGCGGUGAAAUGCGUAGAAAGCAGGAGGAAUACCAGUGGCGAAGGCGACUUUCUGGAGUGACCCUGACGCUGAGGUGCGAAAGCGUGGGUAGCAAACA